GAACAGUCCCGGGCUCGUGGCGGAUACACACACCCUCAGCCUCCUCUUUGCUCAGCUCAAGAACUGGACGAACUCAGCAGCAGCCGGCGGUGGAUUCCUGAUCAGCACAAAUCAGCAGCCGAUGAACACCGAAUUCUAUUCAGUGUAUGACGUGCCGAUCGACCAGCUGCUCGGAGUACCACCUGACGAGAGUGACCUCCACGGAUGUUGGGAAGGCUUUGGAGCCAAGGGAGGCCAACUUGCAGCUCCCUAUUUUCCUUCUACUCACGAUGAGACGCCAGAUGCCACAUCGCCGGAGACGGAGUGGGCCGAUCAUACAGUGGAUGGCUUUGAAGCCAAUGGAGGCCAACUUGCAGCUCCCCACUGUCCUUCUACCCACGAUGAGGCGCCAGACGCCACGCCACCGGAGACGGAGUGCGCCACUCAUACAGCAGAUGGACCAGAGAGCGGCUGGAGGCGCAAGAGAGGCCCUCGCAAGAGAAGGGUGCUGUUGUGCACAGAUCAAUCUUGGCAUCUGGGUAACCAUUUUGGGGUAAGGCCUAUGUCUAUUCUCGGGUGGAAAUUCAAACUAGGUAAUUAUCUCGCACAUAUAUCGACUGUUUUCUGUAUAUUGUACACCCUUUUUUAGUUCAGAUUUUCAAUUCUUAUUAAUACAUCAAUGGAAAAACAGCCAAAGAAUUCUACGUCGUUGGUUGUUUUAACAGCAAACAUCACAUAGAACCAACAAUAGCCACUGGACACCUGAAGAGGUAGCUACGCUGGUGGAUGGCGUCAAAGAUUGCGGGGUUGCACGGUGGUCUGCGAUGAAGAAGAAAUGGUUUCCAACGUCGGUCCGAACUGCGAGCAAUCUCAAGGAUAAGUGGAGAAAUCUCCUGGAAUCAUACACGGGAAAUGCCGAAAGAAGCUGCUAUCUGCAUCUUGACAAGAAGCUGAUCGAACGAAUCAAAAAGGCAGCACUCAACAACCCGUAUCCGAAACCAAGGUGCACUGAUGAAUGAUGAAGGGGCCAUUGUUUAGGACUUUUUACAUUGUGAUGUAGUGCCUUGUAAAGCACUCUCUUACUAAUGGAGGCAAGAUGUUUUAGCAGCUUGUAUCUCCUGCCUAGCUCUCCUGCUCCAGUUUAGUACUCCAGUGUUAAGCUAACAUUAUUUGAAGGCUGGAUGUUUUAGCAGUGCCUAAA